rnacentral:rRNA from 1 species
CAGUAGCCGCGGGAAAACGUAGGGUGCGAGCGUUAAUCGGAAUUACUGGGUGUAAAGCGUGCGCAGGCGGUUAUAUAAGACAGAUGUGAAAUCCCCGGGCUCAACCUGGGACCUGCAUUUGUGACUGUAUAGCUAGAGUACGGUAGAGGGGGAUGGAAUUCCGCGUGUAGCAGUGAAAUGCGUAGAUAUGCGGAGGAACACCGAUGGCGAAGGCAAUCCCCUGGACCUGUACUGACGCUCAUGCACGAAAGCGUGGGGAGCAAACAGGAUUAGAUACCCGGGUAGUCCCUGUCUCUUAUAC